GUGCACAUUUCAUUGUCUUUUUUCUUUAUGGCAAGAGAAAAGAUAUUUCUGAUGUGCUAAACAAACAUUUGGAGGUAAAUUAGCAGCAUGACUAAUUUAGUCAUUGCUGUCAGUCACCUUCAGACAAAU
rnacentral:snoRNA from 1 species